AAGCGCGCGUAGGUGGUUUGUUAAGUUGGAUGUGAAAUCCCCGGGCUCAACCUGGGAACUGCAUCCAAAACUGGCAAGCUAGAGUAUGGUAGAGGGUGGUGGAAUUUCCUGUGUAGCGGUGAAAUGCGUAGAUAUAGGAAGGAACACCAGUGGCGAAGGCGACCACCUGGACUGAUACUGACACUGAGGUGCGAAAGCGUGGGGAGCAAACAGGAUUAGAUACCCUACGU
rnacentral:rRNA from 1 species